rnacentral:rRNA from 1 species
AAUCUUCCGCAAUGGUCGAAAGUCUGACGGAGCAACGCCGCGUGAGUGAUGAAGGNCUNNGGAGCNUNAAACACUGUUGUUAGNNNNNAACAAGUAUCGUUCGAAUAGGGCGUUACCUUUACGGUACCUAACCAGAAAGCCACGGGUAACCACGUGUCACCAGCCGCGGUAAAACGUAGGUGGCAAACGUUAUCCGGAAUAAUUGGGCGCAAAGCGCGCGCAGGCGGUUUCUUAAGUCUGAUGUGAAAGCCCACGGCUCAACCGUGGAGGGUCAUUGGAAACUGGGAAGCUUGAGUGCAGAAGAGGAGAGUGGAAUUCCAUGUGUAGCGGUGAAAUGCGUAGAGAUAUGGAGGACCACCAGUGGCGAAGGCGACUCUCUGGUCUGCAACUGACGCUGAGGCGCGAAAGCGUGGGGAGCGAACA